rnacentral:rRNA from 1 species
AGAGUUUGAUCAUGGCUCAGGAUGAACGCUGGCGGUCUGCGUAACACAUGCAAGUCGAACGGAAUAUCCUCGGAUAUUUAGUGGCGGACGGGUGAGUAACGCGUGAGGAUCUGCCUUUAGGCUGGGGACAACUACUGGAAACGGUGGCUAAUACCCAAUAUGCUGAGAUGUGAAAUGGAGCAAUCCGCCUGAAGAUGAACUCGCGUCCGAUUAGCUAGUUGGAGUGGUAACGCCACACCAAGGCGACGAUCGGUAGCUGGUCUGAGAGGACGAUCAGCCACACUGGGACUGGGACACGGCCCAGACUCCUACGGGAGGCAGCAGUGGGGAAUUUUCCGCAAUGGGCGCAAGCCUGACGGAGCAAGACCGCGUGCGGGAGGAAAGUUUUAGGACUGUAAACCGCUUUUGUCAGGGAAGAACACAAUGACGGUACCUGACGAAUCAGCCUCGGCUAACUCCGUGCCAGCAGCCGCGGUAAUACGGAGGAGGCAAGCGUUAUCCGGAAUUAUUGGGCGUAAAGCGUCCGCAGGUGGUUUGGCAAGUCCGCUGUGAAAGCCAGUAGCUUAACUACUGAUCCGCAGUGGAAACUACCAGACUUUGAGAGCAGUAGGGGUCACGGGAAUUCCCAGUGUAGCGGUGAAAUGCGUAGAUAUUGGGAAGAACACCAGUGGCGAAGGCGCGUGACUGGGCUGCAUCUGACACUCAUGGACGAAAGCUAGGGGAGCGAAAGGGAUUAGAUACCCCUGUAGUCCUAGCUGUAAACGAUGGACACUCGAUGCUGCGCGUAUCGACCCGUGCAGUGUCUUAGCUAACGCGUUAAGUGUCCCGCCUGGGGAGUACGCACGCAAGUGUGAAACUCAAAGGAAUUGACGG